CACGUAGGGCGCAAGCGUUGUCCGGAAUUAUUGGGCGUAAAGAGCUCGUAGGUGGUUUGUUACGUCUGCUGUGAAAACCUAGGGCUUAACCCUGGGCUUGCAGUGGAUACGGGCAGACUAGAGUGCGGUAGGGGAGACUGGAAUUCCUGGUGUAGCGGUGAAAUGCGCAGAUAUCAGGAGGAACACCGGUGGCGAAGGCGGGUCUCUGGGCAACUACUGACGCUGAGGAGCGAAAGUGUGGGGAGCGAACAGG
rnacentral:rRNA from 1 species